rnacentral:rRNA from 1 species
AUUGAACGCUGGCGGCAGGCCUAACACAUGCAAGUCGAGCGGCAGCGGGAAAGUAGCUUGCUACUUUUGCCGGCGAGCGGCGGACGGGUGAGUAAUGCCUGGGAAAUUGCCCAGUCGAGGGGGAUAACAGUUGGAAACGACUGCUAAUACCGCAUACGCCCUACGGGGGAAAGCAGGGGACCUUCGGGCCUUGCGCGAUUGGAUAUGCCCAGGUGAAUUAGCUAGUUGGUGAGGUAAUGGCUCACCAAGGCGACGAUCCCUAGCUGGUCUGAGAGGAUGAUCAGCCACACUGGAACUGAGACACGGGCGAGACUCCUACGGGAGGCAGCAGUGGGGAAUAUUGCACAAUGGGGGAAACCCUGAUGCAGCCAUGCCGCGUGUGUGAAGAAGGCCUUCGGGUUGUAAAGCACUUUCAGCGAGGAGGAAAGGUUGAUGCCUAAUACGUAUCAACUGUGACGUUACUCGCAGAAGAAGCACCGGCUAACUCCGUGCCAGCCGCCGCGGUAACAC